GUGGAUCAUAUGGCGCCCCCAAACGAAUCCUCACAGACCGGGGCAAAGAAUUUGUGAACAAAAUCAACUUGGACUUGUGUGAAAAACUUGGUAUAGUCAGAAGCUUAUGUGCACCAUACCACCCUCAAACAAAUGGUUUGGUUGAAAAGCUCAAUGGCACCAUUCAGGGGGCUUUGAAAAAAAUGG